UUGUACUGAGCGUAUUGAAACGUUAUCGAUAAGAAGAGAGCGUCUAGGCGAACAAUGUUCUUAAAGUUUGACCUCAAAUCAGGUAGGAGUACCCGCUGAACUUAAGCAUAUCAAUAAGCGGAGGAAAAGAAACCAACCGGGAUUGCCUUAGUAACGGCGAGUGAAGCGGCAAAAGCUCAAAUUUGAAAUCUGGUACCUUUGGUGCCCGAGUUGUAAUUUGGAGAGGGCAACUUUGGGACCGUUCCUUGUCUAUGUUCCUUGGAACAGGACGUCAUAGAGGGUGAGAAUCCCGUGUGGCGAGGAGUGCGGUUCUAUGUAAAGUGCCUUCGAAGAGUCGAGUUGUUUGGGAAUGCAGCUCUAAGUGGGUGGUAAAUUCCAUCUAAAGCUAAAUAUUGGCGAGAGACCGAUAGCGAACAAGUACAGUGAUGGAAAGAUGAAAAGAACUUUGAAAAGAGAGUGAAAAAGUACGUGAAAUUGUUGAAAGGGAAGGGCAUUUGAUCAGACAUGGUGUUUUGCGCCCUCUGCUCCUUGUGGGUGGGGGAAUCUCGCAGUUCACUGGGCCAGCAUCAGUUUUGGUGGCAGGAUAAAUCCGUAGGAAUGUAACUUGCUUCGGGAAGUAUUAUAGCCUAUGGGAAUACUGCCAACUGGGACUGAGGACUGCGACGUAAGUC
rnacentral:rRNA from 1 species